GGAGGGUGGGCGAGAGGCAAGGUUUUCAGCUCUGGGGCGUUAGUCUUGGCAGCAGAGCUCUCCCGCUGGGGACGAGAGGCGAGGAGGUCUAUGACAGCGCUUCUCAAACCAUCUGUGGUGAAGAACGUGUGUGUGUGAUUUCUUGUCCAUCGUA
rnacentral:lncRNA from 12 species